AAGUCGUAACAAGGUUUCCGUAGGUGAACCUGCGGAAGGAUCAUUACCAAAUCCAAAUACCUAAACCCCAUGUGAACUAUUGUUUAGUCUGUCUUUGGGAGAAAGAUGAAAAGAGGAAAGGAAAGAUAGUAUUUUAAGGAGUUUUAUUCUCUGUUAUUGUCUUCUUUUUUUUUUUCCUAGUAGUAUUUCUCCCAAUAGAGUCCGGCGCAAUCGUUUGGUUGUGUCCAGAUUCGAAACCCCUUUUUUAAACCACUUGAUUUUUCUGUUGGAAUUUCUUUUAUUAAUUUUAAAUAAAAGACAACUUUUAACGGUGGAUCUCUUGGCUCGU
rnacentral:misc_RNA from 1 species